rnacentral:tRNA from 1 species
CAGGAUAUGGUUCAGCAAUAGAACACCUGCCUUGUAUGUAUGAGACCCUGGGUUCAGUGCCCAGUGCUGUGA